UACGGAGGGUGCAAGCGUUAUCCGGAUUCACUGGGUUUAAAGGGUGCGUAGGUGGGCUAGUAAGUCCGUGGUGAAAUCCCCGAGCUUAACUCGGGAACUGCCGUGGAUACUAUUAGUCUUGAAUAUCGUGGAGGUAAGCGGAAUAUGUCAUGUAGCGGUGAAAUGCUUAGAUAUGACAUAGAACACCGAUAGCGGAGGCAGCUUACUACGCGAUUAUUGACACUGAGGCACGAAAGCGUGGGGAUCAAACAGG
rnacentral:rRNA from 1 species